GCGAGGCAGUCGUCAGUCAGUUGGCCAAGAAACUGGUAGCGUCGGUGUUGUGAGCCAACAAAAGGCUGGCAGCAGCUGGGCAGCUGGCACCGUCUACCGGUGCCCACAGGGGCGUAUUGGCUUUGGCUGGCAUUGUUGGCUUUUGAGUUUUUGAGCGACGCGUAGCCAGCCAAGAAAAGUGGCCAGCCAGCCAGCCAGCCAGCAAAGUCAAGUGAGCAGUGAGCCAACAAUUACUGCUGGCCAAUGCCACCAAAGCCAGAGGUGGUGAUGGUCCAAGAAGAACAAGAUGAUGAUGAUGAUGACGACGACGGCGACGCAGCAGUCAACAGUGCCAAACAGCAGUGCAGGAUGACAGCAAAAGCGCAAAGGAAAAAAAAGAAAUAAUUUAAAACACACAUUUUUUUUCGGUGUUGGCCGCAAACGCAGUUUGAUUAGCCAACUCAAACAAAUACUGGCCAACAGAUCGACAAAUGGAAGUCACAUAAGAGCAACACCAAUACACUAACACAGUCAUACACACACACACAUACAUAUACCAACAUUUGUGUGGAGUUUAGUGAGUGCGCGGUUAACAAGAACAAGCCGCGUUAUGCGUACGUCUCGAUUAUACAGCUUAAACAAUAUAAAAACUAAAAAUAAAACGCAUUGCACUGCAGCAACAACAACGAACUGGGCUUUGCUCUAAAUAAGUGCUUGUGUAUGUGUACGCGUGUGUGCGUGUGUCUGUGUGUGUGUUUGACGACCUUUCGAACUGACCAAACGUGCGCCGCCAACUUCAGGCCAGUGCCAAAAACGACGUGCGCCAAUGGAGCAACUGGCGCGUAGCCCAAAGCGGAAACAACAGCAAAAACAACAUCGACGAGCCUUUGUUUCAAACUGGCCGCUAAUGAUUUGUCAGCCACAAUCCAAAUUGGCCUCAAAGCACACGCGUGCGAAACGUCAAAGCAAGCGCAUCAAGCAGCAGCAGCAGCAGCUGGACUUGCAACAUCGCGCAUACGCAGCGUUGUAUCCUCAAAAUAUUCAAUUAUUAUAAUCUAAACUUCAAACUACACGUAGUGUCUAGUGCUUAACGUUCUAAUCACAACAACAAUAUAAAUAAUAAUAUAACAAUUAAAAACGUAGUGUACUUAUAUAAUCAACAAUCAAACUCUUAUAAUCAAUAUAUAAACUUUAGUGCAAUAUUUAUGCAAUAAUCACAAUUAUUACAACUAGUUUGUAACGGUAAUUGAAAGUUCUCGUAGACACAAUUAUUACAUACUCAUGGCUCUAACCAAACAAUGAAAGUUUUGUGCAACAACUUGCAACAUCAAGUGGCAAAGCAGCAAGCACCAACCAAAGUUCAACUUUAUGGAAUGAACAUCUGUAUGCUGAUCAAAGUAGACAAUGCCAUGUGGUAAAGAAGCCUCGUUGCCCAAUUGGCGGCCACAGCCGCUGCAGCAGCUCCUUGGUCUGACCAGCCAAUGACAGCGCAGCGGAUCCAAGUUUGUCACAGUUAAAAGGCAGCACAACGCUUUUGGCAAAGUUACCAAGUCCGAAACACACAUACACAUACAAACACUUUGAUUGCUGCGCUCACACGCGCAUGAGAGGCCGUGAUAAUAAAUCACGCAUACGCCUGUUAGCACAGCAAUACACACAUAGACUUGUGUGUGUGUGUGUGUGUUCGACUGUUUGCCAACUGCAGUUGAGCUGCUCGUUUUUAGUCUGGACUCGAACGAGUGAGCCGUAAGACACAAUUGCACGAACGAUGCCUUCUUUGCGUGCAGCAGCAGCAGCAUACGUCCCCAACCCGACGCAACCCCACACCAACGGCCAAUCCGUGAAACAAGCCAGUAGGAGCACAGCACGCUAGAACGACCGACCAAUCAGAGCGCGGCUUGUGCGCACUACUUGCUUGGGCCAAAUCGCAGCGGGCCAAAGAGCUUUGCCAAUGACGCGUUGCCGAAACUUGCAUUGCUAUAUAACCAUGAUGUAUGUAGUUAUGUAUAUAAUCUGGUAUUAUUCGUAGUUGCAGUUUUAAGUCUUAAACAUUGUAAAUCACAUGCCCAAAGUCGACGUUCGUAAACAACAGCUAAAGUUGAACGUCAUGAAAUCUGAUACAUUAUAAAAAUAAUUAUAUAACUUACAACACUUAUGUAAACCACUUAGAGGUUGAAAUUAACGAUGAAUGCAAAAUGCGUAAGAAAAAGAAUAAAGAAAACAAUUCGUAAAGCUUCUAAGCGGCACGCCAAA